rnacentral:misc_RNA from 1 species
GCCAAACUACUAAUUCAAGAAGAUGAUAUUGCCAACAAAUUUGGAUGAUGCCUACGACUAACGGAAGUACAGGCAAAUAAAUGAAGCGCACAAUGAAAAAGUUCUGCUAUAUGAUUAAGUGAUCGACUUCAAUGGGAAUCCUCGGAGCGCAACGCACCCAAGGGUGUGGGCUAGUGGUUAAUGAAGCAGGUGCAAACCUUGGAGAUUAGAGUUCAAAUACCAUCCACCUUAGCUUUGGUAGGCAAGAUUACCUAGUACAUGUGCAAGUGGAAAGUAACACUGCAUCAGGUACAUAGUGGAAUACUUGAGGUAUGCUCAAG